rnacentral:rRNA from 1 species
UGGGGAAUAUUGCACAAUGGGCGCAAGCCUGAUGCAGCCAUGCCGCGUGUAUGAAGAAGGCCUUCGGGUUGUAAAGUACUUUCAGCGGGGAGGAAGGUGUUGUGGUUAAUAACCUCAGCAAUUGACGUUACCCGCAGAAGAAGCACCGGCUAACUCCGUGCCAGCAGCCGCGGUAAUACGGAGGGUGCAAGCGUUAAUCGGAAUUACUGGGCGUAAAGCGCACGCAGGCGGUCUAUCAAGUCGGAUGUGAAAUCCCCGGGCUCAACCUGGGAACUGCAUCCGAAACUGGCAGGCUUGAGUCUUGUAGAGGGGGGUAGAAUUCCAGGUGUAGCGGUGAAAUGCGUAGAGAUCUGGAGGAAUACCGGUGGCGAAGGCGGCCCCCUGGACAAAGACUGACGCUCAGGUGCGAAAGCGUGGGGAGCAAACA